rnacentral:misc_RNA from 1 species
GAUGAAGAACGCAGCGAAACGCGAUAAGUAAUGUGAAUUGCAGAAUUCAGUGAAUCAUCGAGUCUUUGAACGCACAUUGCGCCCCCUGGUAUUCCGGGGGGCAUGCCUGUCCGAGCGUCAUUGCUGCCCUCAAGCACGGCUUGUGUGUUGGGCCCCCGUCCCCGGUUCUCCCCGGGGACGGGCCCGAAAGGCAGCGGCGGCACCGCGUCCGAUCCUCGAGCGUAUGGGGCUUUGUCACCCGCUCUGUAGGCCCGGCCGGCGCCAGCCGACACCCCAACUUUAUUUUCUAAGGUUGACCUCGGAUCAGGUAGGGAUACCCGCUGAACUUAAGCAUAUCAAUAAGCGGAGGA